rnacentral:tRNA from 1 species
GCCGGCAUGUCGGAAUGGCAGACGAUGCAGACUCAAAAUCUGUUGCGGGUAACCGCGUGUGGGUUCAAGUCCCACUGCCGGCACUA